GCCAUGCACGCCACCCCCUAAAAGAACAAGAGUGGACAGUACUGAUGACCCCAAAGUCAAGCAAAACACACAGGUCGAUGUCGAACCCCAGCCAGUGGACACCGAGAAUGAUGUUCCUGAUAUGCAACCAGACCCACAGAUUCCUGCCCCAUUCCAGCCAGAAAGUACACAGGCUGGCCUGUUGAUACAAGCAGCUCUGCAGAGGAGGGUGGCACAGCUUGAAACUGAACUUCAGGCGGCGCGACGGAAGCUUCAACUUGCUCAGAGGCAGCGUUUGCAGGCACUA
rnacentral:lncRNA from 1 species